GUGCAUUAGGUAUUUGUCCUAAUGCUCUCCCUCCCCUUGCCCCCCCACCCACCGAGAGGCCCUGGUGUGUGUUGUUCCCCUCCUUGUGUCCAUGUGUUCUCAUUGUUCAACUCCCACUUAUGAGCGAGAACAUGUGGUGUUUGGUUUUCUGUUCCUGUGUUAGUUUGCUGAGAAUGAUGACUUCCAGCUUCAUCCAUGUCCCUGCAAAGGACAUGAACUCAUUCCUUUUUAUGGCUGCAGACUGAGCCUUUUCUUAACCCCAGGAGGUAAAAUGUGACGGUCCUAAACCAUUUAGGACCAUUUCAUUUGCUUUGUUGUUGACUGGCUUAGGAACAGGCUUGGGAUGCAAUUCUGCCUCUAAGACUUGUGGAUAUGUCUGCUGGAGAGUGAGCCUUGGAGGAAGAGUUUUUCUAGGAAAGGAAUCAUCUCUCAAAAAGAAGCAUAGAGAUCCGAAGAGCAGUGAGCCUUUCUUUUGGGUUUUUUAAUUUAUUUUCAUUUAGAUGUGGUUGGGAAUGCACCGCCUAGAGCUAUUGCAGACAGUUUGCAAUCAUGAGGGAACCAAGAACUUCAGACCAAAGCUGAUAUGAAGACUUCUAUGGAACUGUUGAAUUAACCAAUGCUGGACCCACCCUACCCCCUGGAUUCUUGCUUGAUGAGGCAGCAAAUAUCUAUUGUUCAACCCAGUGGAACUUGAAAAUGACACAGAGAGAAAUGCAAGUGGCAAUAGGAUCCAGAAACCGAGAGACUCAUGGAAAGGAGGCAGCCGGUGGAAGCAGGAGACAGCAGAAGCCAAGCCAAACAGCAAAAGAAGGAAAUUGAAAGGAGCCAGAAGGGGUCAUCUGAGAGAUGUCAAGAGUGGCAGCAGAAACAGACAGGCACCUCCUGUGCCAAUGCCUGCUUUUGAGAGAUCAAGAUCAUGGUAUCUGUAGACUGAGAACAAAGUGUGAGACUCAGAACUAAGUCCAUUCAAGCUCUGCAUUUCUUUGUUAUGUCCCUUUCAUCAGUAAUUUCCAUUAGUUCCUUACAUCUCUUUCAUCAUGAAUUUCCACCAGAGAAUCUAAUUGCAUCAGACUCGCUGAAAAAGUUUAACUAAUAGAUCCAAUAUUUACCAGCCUGUGAUCUUGGGUAAGUCACGUAUCCUGCACGAACAUGAGUUGUUUCAUCUCUAUGUGUGAUAGGCAAAAUAAUAGCCCUAAACAUGUCCACAUCCUAAUUCUCAGAAUUUGAGACUAUGUUACCUUACAUGGCAAAAGGGAUUUUGCAGAUAUGAUUAAGUUACAACAUUGAGAUAGGGUCCUAUGUUAUACAUGUGGGCCCAGUCUAAUCAUAUGGGUUCUUAAAAUCAGGGAGAGAUUUUCCCAGCUGUGGUCAAGGAGAGAUGUGAUGAGGGAAGAAUGGUCAGAGAGAUGCUGCACUACUGGCUUUCAAGAUAGAGGAAGGGGCCGUGAACCAAGGAAUGUGGAUGGCCUCUAGAAGCUGGAAAAAGGCAAGGAAGCAGAUUCUUCCCAACCUAAAGAGGAGGAACACAGCCUGCCAAACACCCCAGCUUUAGCCCUGUUAAACCUGUGUUAAACUUUUAACCUAUAGAACUGUAAUAUAACAGAUUUGUGUUGUUUUAAGCUGUUAAGUUUGCAGUAACUUGUUACAGCAGCAAUAGAAAACUAAUACAUUCUGAUGGCUAACACUACAUAUGCAUGGGAAAAUGUCUAAAAGAAUGUAUUCUCCAAUGUAACAUUGGUUUUGUCAUCUUUUCAAAUUAUUUCUUUUUUCUGGUUUCAAUAACGACUGUGUGUUAUUUGUGUAAUAAAGAAAUGAUGGAAAUGUUAAAGAAUAAGUAAUAUGUACUAAAUAAAGUUAGAUGACCUCUAAGGCUCCACCUAACUGUGGCAUUAUCUGAGCAAUCCAGCUGGUGGCUUAAUUGCCAAUCCAUAUCCUGUUUCUUCUUGGAUGCCAUAGACAGGUCUUAACUCCUCCACAAAGGAACCAGAAAGAGCA
rnacentral:lncRNA from 1 species